AAUCAACGCUGGCGGCGUGCCUAACACAUGCAAGUCGAACGAGAAGGUGACUUCGGUCACUGGAUAGUGGCGUCCGGGUGAGUAACACGUAGGUAAUCUACCUUCGGGUGGGGAAUAACGUCUCGAAAGAGACGCUAAUACCGCAUAAUGCAGCGGCACCUAAUGGUGAUUAGUUGUUAAAGCGGGGGAGUCUUCGGACCUCGCGCCUGAAGAGGAGCCUGCGGCAGAUUAGCUAGUUGGUGAGGUAAUGGCUCACCAAGGCUUCGAUCUGUAGCUGGUCUGAGAGGACGGCCAGCCACACUGGCACUGACACACGGGCCAGACUCCU
rnacentral:rRNA from 1 species